UACAGGGGGGGCAAGCGUUGUUCGGAAUUACUGGGCGUAAAGGGCUCGUAGGCGGCCAACUAAGUCCGACGUGAAAUCCCAAAGCUUAACUUUGGAACUGCGUCGGAUACUGGAUGGCUUGAAUUCGGGAGAGGGAUGCAGAAUUCCAGGUGUAGCGGUGGAAUGCGUAGAGAUCGGGAAGAACACCAAUGGCGAAGGCAGUCGGCUGGGCCGUUGCUGACACUGAGGCGCGACAGCGUGGGGAGCAAACAGG
rnacentral:rRNA from 1 species